rnacentral:rRNA from 1 species
AGUCGAACGAGUUCUGAUUAUUGAAAGGUGCUUGCAUCUUGAUUUAAUUUUGAACGAGUGGCGGACGGGUGAGUAACACGUGGGUAACCUGCCCUUAAGUGGGGGAUAACAUUUGGAAACAGAUGCUAAUACCGCAUAAAUCCAAGAACCGCAUGGUUCUUGGCUGAAAGAUGGCGUAAGCUAUCGCUUUUGGAUGGACCCGCGGCGUAUUAGCUAGUUGGUGAGGUAACGGCUCACCAAGGCAAUGAUACGUAGCCGAACUGAGAGGUUGAUCGGCCACAUUGGGACUGAGACACGGCCCAAACUCCUACGGGAGGCAGCAGUAGGGAAUCUUCCACAAUGGACGCAAGUCUGAUGGAGCAACGCCGCGUGAGUGAAGAAGGCUUUCGGGUCGUAAAACUCUGUUGUUGGAGAAGAAUGGUCGGCAGAGUAACUGUUGUCGGCGUGACGGUAUCCAACCAGAAAGCCACGGCUAACUACGUGCCAGCAGCCGCGGUAAUACGUAGGUGGCAAGCGUUAUCCGGAUUUAUUGGGCGUAAAGCGAGCGCAGGCGGUUUUUUAAGUCUGAUGUGAAAGCCCUCGGCUUAACCGAGGAAGUGCAUCGGAAACUGGGAAACUUGAGUGCAGAAGAGGACAGUGGAACUCCAUGUGUAGCGGUGAAAUGCGUAGAUAUAUGGAAGAACACCAGUGGCGAAGGCGGCUGUCUGGUCUGUAACUGACGCUGAGGCUCGAAAGCAUGGGUAGCGAACAGGAUUAGAUACCCUGGUAGUCCAUGCCGUAAACGAUGAAUGCUAGGUGUUGGAGGGUUUCCGCCCUUCAGUGCCGCAGCUAACGCAUUAAGCAUUCCGCCUGGGGAGUACGACCGCAAGGUUGAAACUCAAAGGAAUUGACGGGGGCCCGCACAAGCGGUGGAGCAUGUGGUUUAAUUCGAAGCAACGCGAAGAACCUUACCAGGUCUUGACAUCUUUUGAUCACCUGAGAGAUCAGGUUUCCCCUUCGGGGGCAAAAUGACAGGUGGUGCAUGGUUGUCGUCAGCUCGUGUCGUGAGAUGUUGGGUUAAGUCCCGCAACGAGCGCAACCCUUAUGACUAGUUGCCAGCAUUUAGUUGGGCACUCUAGUAAGACUGCCGGUGACAAACCGGAGGAAGGUGGGGAUGACGUCAAAUCAUCAUGCCCCUUAUGACCUGGGCUACACACGUGCUACAAUGGAUGGUACAACGAGUUGCGAGACCGCGAGGUCAAGCUAAUCUCUUAAAGCCAUUCUCAGUUCGGACUGUAGGCUGCAACUCGCCUACACGAAGUCGGAAUCGCUAGUAAUCGCGGAUCAGCACGCCGCGGUGAAUACGUUCCCGGGCCUUGUACACACCGCCCGUCACACCAUGAGAGUUUGUAACACCCGAAGCCGGUG